rnacentral:lncRNA from 1 species
ACCCGCCGCCGCCCCAGUCCCCGCAGCCGCCGCUCCGCGGUCAUUUUUCUUUUCUAUCUUUUUUUUUUUAAUAGUCGGAAUCUCACUCUGUCACUCAGUCGAGUGCAGUGGCGGGAUCUCAGCUGACUGCAAACUCUGCCGCCCAGGUUCAAGUGAUUCUCUUGCCUCCGCCUCCCGAGUACCUGGUACUAGAGGGAUUAGUCAGUGUCGGGGCUAAGACCAGUCCUGGCCAGGGCAUCAACAGGAUAGUCUCUGGAGGCCGGGAUUCACGGAGGGUCGUCCAGGAGGAAGAAACUGCAGGUGGAGGGCCGGGCAAGCAGCGCGGGAUCCCAGGUUCAGGCCUGCACGGACGGUGUGCCAGUAAGAUUGGGGAAGAUGCCAGGUGAUAGAAUCCACCCUGCCUCUGACAGCAUCCAAUCUGGAGCAAAGGCUUCUUUCAACCUUCCCCCAAGCUCCCAAUACAAGCCCAAAUUCUGGAACAAGUCCUUUCCAACACCUCCUUCAGAGAAGCUCCCUGGCUCCAGGCAGUGCUUGCUCCCCUCACUGCAGCAGGAAGCCUAACUUGCGAACUGCAGGUGUGCUCCAGGUGGUCACUGGAUGCAAGGUAUUGACAGAUGGAUCCCAUUGAUACCCCCACUGCAUAACCAUGUAAGCCUAUCAUCCCCCACUUGCACAUGAGGAAACGGAGGUCCACAGGGUGGGGAAGGGAAGACAUAAUUUGUCCUUCAAAUGCGAUACCGGUGAGAUGUGAGAGGCAGCAUCCCUCAUAACUCAGCAAGGCAGUGGGCACACUAGGAC